CACGUAGGCACCAAGCGUUAUCCGGAUUUAUUGGGCGUAAAGAGCUCGUAGGCGGUUCGGUAAGUCGGGUGUGAAAACUCUGGGCUCAACCCAGAGAGGCCACCCGAUACUGCUGUGACUAGAGUGCGGUAGGGGAGCGGGGAAUUCCUGGUGUAGCGGUGAAAUGCGCAGAUAUCAGGAGGAACACCAGCGGCGAAGGCGGCAUCCUGGACCCACACUGACGCUGAGGAGCGAAAGCCAGGGGAGCAAACGGG
rnacentral:rRNA from 1 species